rnacentral:rRNA from 1 species
AUACGUAGGUGGCAAGCGUUGUCCGGAAUUAUUGGGCGUAAAGCGCGCGCAGGUGGGAUAUUAAGUCUGGUGUUAAAGUUCGGGGCUCAACCCCGUGAGGCAUUUGGAAACUGAUAUUCUUGAGUGCAGGAGAGGAAAGUGGAAUUCCUAGUGUAGCGGUGAAAUGCGUAGAUAUUAGGAGGAACACCAGUGGCGAAGGCGACUUUCUGGACUGUGUCUGACACUGAGGCGCGAAAGCUAGGGUAGUGAACAGGAUUAGAUACCCUGGUAAUCCUAGCUGUAAACGAUGGGUACUAGGUGUUGGGGGUAUCGACCCCUCCAGUGCCGGAGUUAACGCAAUAAGUACCCCGCCUGGGGAGUACGGCCGCAAGGUUGAA